CCUGGCUCCCUUUCUCUGGUUAGUCACUCUGCUAUGAGCCUCUGACCUGAGUGGGAGGAGGAAAGAGAAAAGAUUGGGGUUUCAUUAAGUCAUAAAAACUUUACCCCUUUAUUUCCAUUUGUCUGAAUUUUCACUGGUGUUAAUUUUCUUUAGAAAGAAAAAUAGGACUGAACAAAUUCAGCUCUGGAGUUAAGUCUAUAAAAGUCAGGGAAGUCACCAAGGAUGAAUUUUCCCCACUGUUCUUUUAAUAAAUACACCCUUUAAUAACACUAGUGGAGCUCCCACUGUGUCUCCUGUUGCCAUGAAUGGUGAUGCAAGGAAGUAAAGAACAGAGCAGACAUCUUCCCACAGAAGCACUAGCAAACCCAACAGAAAUCUUGAAGCAAGUGAGCCUAGGAUGUUGGUUUGUAAAUACUGUUCUAGCAGUGUCCACCUGGCCGCUUCCCAGUGGCAGUCAUAUGCCGCCUGAUUUCUACCCUUUGGAUUAAAAGCAAAGAGCCAGAUACAGAUACCAUAACAGGGAGGGACAUGGGUGGUGCUUCAGCAUAGACUGAGAGCAAGGGAAGAAGUAGAAGAGCCAGAGAAGGAGAGGUGUAGAGCAGGAACACAUCCCGGUAGUCUGAGUCCGCUGGAACCCAGCUAUGAAGAGCUCAGCUUUCCUGUGGAGCUGUGUCCUCCUCCUGCCUCUCACAGCUGGAACCGCCGCAAUGAUAAACUAUGCAGUGGCAAUACCAGCUCAACUCUUCUACUCCUCCACAGAGACGAUAGAGGUCAAGGGGUCCCAGUCCAGGUGACUGUAACUCUACAAACCAAAACUGGGAAUCAGACACUGAUCACACAAUCUGUCUACCAGUCCAGCUUCUUUGACUGCACCAGCUUCCAGGUGAGCAACAGAGGCCAUGCACUGAAGCUGCAACCACAUUAACAUGGGGUUGGGAGAACACCAGCUAGGUUCUUCUGUUGCUGGAGGAGUCAAGGCACGAAUUGUAACCUUGGAUCAGAACUUUAUUGCCAGCAAUGAACCAGUAAUACCAGGAGGAAAGAAUCUUUAUAAGCAUGAAACUGACUGGAGGCCGGGUCCAGGACCCCAGGGGUUAGUGUUCUGCACUUCCAGGAGAGCUGAUCUGAUCUGUAGCUCCAGUCCCUUGCUCAUAGUUCAGUGAUUCCAAUCCUUCAUCAGGCAUGUCCAGCUCAGCCAUGAAGCUGAGUCACUCAGAACCUGAAAGAUUUCAAGGGAGACUUAUGGAUGUUCAGUAGAUCUGAAAAUUUGGGGAUGGGAAUUUAUUUCAGAAGCAACUGAUCAAUUGCUUCGUUCUUUCCUUUCCAUAGCACACCAGGUGGAGCUGCAGGUAAGCGAUGCCAUUCUGAAAGAUUUUAAUGAUCAGAACAGAAGGAGCUAUAUGGGGCAGCCACUUAUGCCAAGAUGCACAGUGACAGCCCCUGAUUUCUUGCAGUUCCUCCCCUCGUCACCCACAACUUUGCAAGGAGGGUCUGGUAUCCAGGCAUCAUUUCUUGAACCAUGUCAAUGACUGGUGAGUGUCACUGCACGGCAGUGGUUGGCAAACAUUUCAGGAGUACCAUGUACAUUUUAUCCUUGAAUAUGUUGUGGAGAAUCAGGAACCCCUCUCCCACUUGAGUUUCCUUAAGAAAAUGGUGAACUUUAUUUAACAUGGAAACAGUUAAAGAGUUUGAGAUUAAUACUUCAAUAAGACAAACAAUAGAAGCUCCCAGCUCUUCUCCUUAUCUGUUCUUUUCAUAGUAUGGACAAAGCAUGGCACCUGGUCACUUGAGCUAAAGGAGAAUUGCUGUUAGCAACAAAAGGCUCAUGAUACCAAUUUAGAGCAGUUCUAACUCCAGCCAGUUGAGGGUCGUAGAGUGUACACACUUUGCAUAUUACACCCAUACCGGCACCCACUAGACAGUUUAUUACGCUACAGAAACAGUUGCUUCUGAAACAUGUUUGAACAUUUUAGAGCAAUGGAGUUGUAACAGUUUAGACGUGGAGUUGUAACUAACUUUGCCCUUUCAGUAACCAUGGGAAGGUCCCAGCAACAGGAACACAGCCGCUUCCAUUUAUUCCAGUUUAGUCCAUGUGCUUCCAAACCAGAAGCUGGUUCCCCCUUAGCUGCUGGACUACAUUAUUGCACAAAGCAUGUAAUACAGAGAACAAUGGUGUAAUAAACCGGCUCUGUGUAUGUGUGUGGGAGUGAGCUGGAGAGAGAGAAUCCUACCCUCUGUUGGAUGGAACCAGAACUCAUUUUUGUCAUGGGCCCUGCACUGCUAGCAGCUAAUGGAGAUUUUCCUUUAGCUCAGAUUGGAGCAGGAGGUUAUGAUUUCUAUCCCUGAUGCUCCUGUGAAGUUCCAAGGGCCCUGGUGUACAUCAUAACAAUGACUGUUAUUGGCAAUAACCAUCCCUUAUUCCCAUCUCUGUAGGACUCCAAAGGGAAUUGCAUGGUCAAUGGUUGAACGUGACCCCAUAUCAAGGCAUUGUGGAUCUAUUCUUCCCAUUGGCUGCAGAAGCACCUUUAGGAAAAUACACCAUCAAUAUGCCUGGCCUCAAGAACACCUCAGUGUAGAGGAAUAUGACAGGCACUUGCUCUGCUUUCUCUCCUGAGACCUGCAUGCUGGGCCGGAGGAAAGACAGGAUGUCUUUCCCAUCAGGUCUGCCCAUCUCUCUCCUGCUUGGGCACAUUGCUGUGGGAUCCCGUUGGGCCUUGCUGGGGAGAGAGUGCUGCCCAAAUUCAGUGUGUCAAUUCAGAUGCCCCCUGUGAUCACCAUCUUGGAGGAGAAAUUCCAUUUGCAAGUCGGCGGCAUGUACACAUAUGGGAAGCUAGUCCAGGGCAAAGUGCAGGCCAUGGUGUGCCGCAAGCCAAUAUGCUAUAGUUGGAGUGUCUUCAAAACAAACCAGGAUAUUUGUCGGGAACAUUCUGGCCAGGGUUGGAGUUCAACACCACCACUCAGACCUGCAGGGUAACUUCAUCCAUCAUACACUCCAGUUUUUGGAUAAUAUCUACUACCAGCCAGGAUCACCAUACCGUGGGAUGGGUAAGUGAGCUAGGAAGAUGCUAGGGAAGGAAGAGGCAAGCCCAACUCAGGGGCUAAGGGAAUGCCGUUGUCAUGAGGCCCUUAAAGGGGGUCACCUUGCUCUGAGCUGCCACAGCCCCUUGUGCGUAGCCUCUCUUUAUCUCUUAACAUCCUCACCGAGGGAGAGAAU